UGGUCAUAAUUAUAGCAGGUCUCUAGACUAGACUCUUCUACUAUAUGAUUGCAGCAGCACAAGGCUAGCUAUUAGUGACUAUAGCCAAUGAUGUUGUGUUUGUGGAUCCUCUAGUAUCAUAUUUUCACCCAAUACAGGUAUUAGUCCCCUUGGAUUAGAGUGUGACACAGUAUGUACUGACAUUAAUUGAUCAGCUUGUCUCCAAUGCCUGCAUGGAUCAACAGGUCAAUCUACUAGCCGUAUAAACCGUCAGUAUUACGUCUAUUGACUGCUUUAUGCAUGCAGUACACAUCACAUAGAACUGUCUGGACAUGCUGUGAGUGUGAUACGCUAGAUCUCUCUAGACUCGUGCGCCAUCACUGGUGCAUGACGUACAAAAAGUGCUGGCUUGAGAGUCUAAGGUAUCUCUGGAGGGGACAAUCAUCAUUCAAUAUACAUGUGUAUAUCACCAUCAUGCACUGAUGACUCAGCACUUGGUGAGCUCGAGUAUCUUCAUAAUAAUUAUAAUUAUUGGCUUGGGUGCGUGGCUGUGAAUAUUACUUGCUGGGUAGUAUAUUUCCUCCUGCAAUACUCUAUUAAUAUUGGGUGGGCUUUGUGGAAACCUUUGAUGUGGCCAUUGUGACUGACACAAUAAUUAUUAUAGAGAGACACUCACACUGAGGCUUACCAAACAGCACUUGUUGUCGUGACCAGAACACUCCACACUAUAGCUGGAGUUUGUAUUUAGUUAAUUAGAACACAUGCACCUACCUUAAGGUGACACAUUUUCGCGUGUAUUAAUUUCUGCUAUUUCUGCGAGAGAGUAAAAUCGCAAAAAUUAGUACUCGCAAAUAAUUGGCCGCCCUCUUGUUUAAUGUAUCCAGAUUGACAUUUCGCAAAAAAUAUACCAGCAAAAUGUACAAAACUAUAAAAACGCAAACAAAUCUACAGUAGUACCUGUGAAAAUAUGUCACCUUAAGGUACGUAUGUUAGAUAAGUGUUUGAAUCUAAUCUGUGUGCCAAGGAUGAGCUCAUCGAGUGCUAAAAGUUAAAACACAUGAUCUUGUUAUUUUAGGUUACUGUGUGUUCUACGAAAAAUUUAAUGGUGUCACAUGAUCUCUAUAUAGUCUUGUGCACAGCUUGACCUGUUAAAAUAUGCUUGAGGUACAGGACAUUGUAUAAACAUUGCAUCAGUUUAAUAAAGUGAGUCAUGAAUAAUUGACAUGUGUAUGAUAACAGUAGAUCUACAUACUGAGUAUAGACUAGACUCUUCUACUAGACUAUAUGAUUGCAGCAGCACAAGGCUAGGCUAGAAAUAGUGACUAUAGCCAACAACUCCAACUUCUCAUGAAAAACAUGAACAUACUCCGAAAGCAAGUCACUGUCCUGUUUGUAGUCAUUAUUGUUCAUAUUGGCUCAGAACAAAGGGUUCAGGCCUCUGCAGGGACUGGUGCUGCCAGUAGAGAGAACCACUCGAUUGGGUUGUAUACCAGAGGGCAGGACUGUCAGCUAGGAAUGCACUGUCGAUGAUGAUGAUGGUGAACGCUCAACAAUAUGGCGAGGGAGUGCAUUCAACUGUCCCAGCAGUUCAUCUGUGAUCAACUUAGCUCAUUCUCUAUAUGAACCUAAUGGAGUACGUGGUUCUUGCGGCGACUUGUCUGGCAUGAGUGUUGGGGUUAGUGGAAAUAACUUUACCUCUAUACUGACUCUAAUAGCAACUAUUGGGCUGAAUGGAAUGACUAUUGAAUGUACUCGGAGUGGUACAGUUAUCUUUGGAAAUGAUACCUUAAGAAGUGGAGCCCGUCUCUCUCCCCCUCAACGCGCCAUGGUGGACAUCACUUCUACUUCAUCCCUCACUGUUAGUUGGACCCCACCCUCUGAUACCAGCAACCUGGAGGGAUACCUGUUCACAGUGACUGGAGAGAAUUGUGGGUGUGAGAGUAUGAAUAUCAGUUCUGACACUACCAGUGUGAGCUGUUCUGGUUGGAUGGUUAAUAAUCAGACAUGUUCCUUUGAGGUGAGGACCGUCUCUCAAGACUGUGGGUUCACCAGUGCCCCUGUGAAUGAAUAUGUCGUACUGAUGGUACCACCUGCACCAACACAACUACGGGUGGUGUUUAGUGCAUAUAAAAUCGAGGUGGAAUUCAUGCAAGCAAUUCUAUCUCCUCUUGGUUCCAACCUUGACUCUACUAUAUCCUACACAGUGAUGGUGGUUGGAACUAACUUCUCAAUAAACUUCACUGGAGUGAUUUGUGAUAACAACAGAUGUAAUCUCACAAUCCCUAAUUCUCAACUCUCUACUUAUAAUGUCAGUUACAUGUACAUUGUCAGCGUGGUGGCCUCUAACAUAUUUGGCUUUGGACCUUCUGCAGUUUAUGUUGAAUGCAACCCAGAAGACCUUGGUAACUCCACUUUUCUGAAUGGACUUGGAAAGGUCAAUGUAUCAAACGGACUAAUUCACUACAGUGGCGUGUCUCCUGACUCUAUUGCAAUGUUACGAUGCAAUGAUGGGUACAGAGCAAACUCCUUCCUCAACAGGACGUGCAUGUUUGAUGGACAAUGGAGUGAGGGGGCAUUGGAGUGUGUUAGAGUGGAUGGAAAAACUGUUUCGCCUCGUAUCACACCUGCCUGUCCUCUAUACUGUGCUGUUUUGGUUGGUGUUUUUGUGUCUGUAACCGUGGUCGUGUUGAUAAUCGUUUGUAUUGCGAUUGCACUCUACAUUCUGAAGAAGUAUGGAAGAGAACGCUUCGCUUCAAUCAACAUGUCUGAAAAGGUUCAAUAUCGAGCCAAUCUAGAGAGUCCAAACACAAAUGAAUCAUCACUGUCCCUAGUCGAUACGCAGCCAUCAAAAGCCAAGAUAAAUGUCAACAGGAGCGAGCCAUCCCAAUCAGCUCAGGUGGAUACGUAUGCAAACCCUGAAGACUUCAUUAAAACACCACCACACAUGCAUCCACAAAAGAACGAGGAAGCGGAGGAUCUGAAAUCCCUUAAUGUAGAGAUCACUAAUGAUGAAGUGUCGCGAAUCUAUCCAUUGUUUGCUGUUGUGUCAUUGUUAAUUCACUUUCCUACGAAUCACUGCCGAGUUUCACAACUACUAUAAAGGAUGUCGAGUGUCUAUAUAAAAAACAAAGAUUUGACUUGUGACGGAAUGCCAAUUUAUUGUGCUCAGUACGAGAACAUUGAAGUAGCCAGACCUGUUGAAGUAACCUCUCAAAACAAGUGUACUCUGAAGUUUUUGAUGCCUUGCCAAAAGGAAAGUCCAAAAUAAUUGUGAAGUAAGCCAAAUAAACAUAAAAUCAUUUACUCUCAGUUGACAGCUUGCGUAACUAAAGCUCCGUUUGAUCACACAUGUAGUGUAAAUUAUUAUUGAAUUUCAUUGAUUUGUUAUUUCAUUGAUUGUUAAUUAUCAUUAAAAAUGUUCUUUCAUGUUUCCAUCAUUUACCUGCCACGUAUACUCACUGAUAGACCAACUUUAAUUGGUGCCAGAACUUCUGUUCAAGUAUAAUUAAUU